UUUAAUGGCCGCAGUAAUUUAACUGUGCGAAGGUAGCAUAAUCAAUAGUUUUUUAAUUGAAAGCUUGUAUGAAAGGUGGACGAGAUAAUAUCUGUCUUUAUUAUAAUUAUUAUAGAAUUUAAUUUUUAAGUUAAAAAGCUUAAAUUUUUUUAAAAGACGAGAAGACCCUAUAGAGUUUUAUAAUUUAAAAUUUAUAAUUAUUUUAGAUUAUUUAAUUUUAUAAGUUUAUAUUUAUUUUAUUGGGGUAAUAGAAAGAUUAAUAUAAUUCUUUUUUAUUUAUUUAUUUAUUUAUAUAUUUAUGAUCCUUUUUUAGAGAUUAUAAGAUUAAAUUACCUUAGGGAUAACAGCGUAAUUUUUUUUGAAAGUUCUUAUUGAUAAAAAAGAUUGCGACCUCGAUGUUGGAUUAAAGAUUAGUUUAGGUGCAAAAGUUUAAAUUUUUGGUCUGUUCGACCAUUAAAUCUUUACAUGAUCUGAGUUCAGACCGGUGUGAGCCAGGUCGGUUUUUAUCUUUAUUUAUAUAUAAUAUUUUAGUACGAAAGGACCAAAUAUUAAUUAUAUUAAUUAUUAUUUUGAAUAUUAUU
rnacentral:rRNA from 1 species